AUUGAACGCUGGCGGCAUGCUUUACACAUGCAAGUCGAACGGUAACAGGUCUUCGGAUGCUGACGAGUGGCGAACGGGUGAGUAAUGUAUCGGAACGUGCCCAGUAGUGGGGGAUAACUACUCGAAAGAGUGGCUAAUACCGCAUGAGAACUGAGGUUGAAAGCGGGGGACCUUCGGGCCUCGCGCUACUGGAGCGGCCGAUAUCAGAUUAGGUAGUUGGUGGGGUAAAGGCCUACCAAGCCGACGAUCUGUAGCUGGUCUGAGAGGACGACCAGCCACACUGGGACUGAGACACGGCCCAGACUCCUACGGGAGGCAGCAGUGGGGAAUUUUGGACAAUGGACGCAAGUCUGAUCCAGCAAUGCCGCGUGCAGGACGAAGGCCUCGGUUGUAACUAGCUUUGUACUA
rnacentral:rRNA from 1 species